ensembl:lncRNA
AUGUUGGCUUAUGAGGAGUUCAAGCCCAUUAUAAUGAAAAAACGCAAUACAGCUGCAUAUGCGAGGGAAAGACAACUGGCUUGGCAAAAGAUAACUGACAGAGUAAAUGCGUGUAAUCCUUCUGGAGCCAAAAGAACUCUUUCCCAAGUCAAAAUGAAACACAAAAACAUUCUCCAAAAAGCUAAUAGAAAGAAGGCUGAGGCCCAUCUAACUGCCAGGGGUCCACCUCCUCUCACCCCAUCUGAGGAGUUGGCUCUAUCACUUAAUAAAGGUCGCCCUGUGGUCGAUAAUAUUCCAGAGGGCACUUUGUCAGACUUUGCUACCUCCCACAACAACUCAAGUGACUUGGUACAAUUUGCUGAUGGACGCAUUGUAUUAUUGGAUCCUCCUGAAACCACACAGUCUGUCACAAUUGAUGAUGGUGAUGAUGAUGAUGAAGAGACCACAUCUGCUGUGACUGAAUUAGAAAGUGCUGGGAGACCCACAGAGAAUCUAGCUGGGGAUGAACAUGCAGAUGAGGGUCCAUCUACCUCUACACAUAAUCUUAGCAGUAUGUCUGCAAAGGAGCUGUAUAAGGUCCAUCUAUUAAGGCAUGAACAUUAAUCUUUUUUUUUUUUUUUGUUUAAAGAAAU